rnacentral:rRNA from 1 species
GACGAACGCUGGCGGCGUGCUUAACACAUGCAAGUCGAACGGAAAGGCUCUAUUACUGUGGGCUGGUAGAGAGGCGAACGGGGGAGUAAGACGAGAGUAACCUGAACUCGACUUUGGGAUAACUUCAGGAAACUGAGGCCACUACCGGAUAGGAGCUACUGCUGCAUAGCGGGGGUUGGAAAGUUUCGGCGGUGUGGGAUGGACGCGCGGCUUAUCAGCUUGUUGGUGGGGUAGGGGAUUACCAAGGCUUUGAGGGGUAGCCGGCCUUAGAGGGUGACCGGCCACCUUGCUCCUGCGGUACGGCCCAGUCUCCUACGUGACGCAGCAGUGGGGAAUAUUGCAGAAUGGGCGGAAGUCUGAUGCAGCAACGCCGCGUUCGUGAUGACGUCUUUCUGGUUGUAAACCUGUUUCGCCUGUGCCGUAGCCUUAUUGACGGUAAUUGGUAAGGAAGCCCCGGCUAACUACGUG